AAAAUUUACGGACAUCAUCUCACAUGUGUUGAAAUACAAAAGCAAAAUCAAGGGCACGAGUGAACAGAAAGCGAGUCCAAAUUUUCACCAAAGCAGAAUUCUUGUCACAUCGUAAUAAAUCCUUUUUUAGCGACAUUAUAAUGAGUGUCGUUACACAAUGAAGUUUGAAGUAUUUCCUGAUACAUGAUAAUUUAUGUGGCUACUGAUUUUUCCGUUUUCCCGAUUACGUCAAAAAGCACGGCGGUUGUGACCGGUCAGCAGAGGAUGCUUACUCUUCCAUGGCACCUAAUUUUUGUAGAGGCCUGUGUUUGCUUGCUUCUGAUUUUUGUGUUUUUCUUUUGGACCUUUAAUUUGUAACUCGGUGUCAUCGCAUUUCAUUUUUUUUAGAAUAUCAAAGAUCAAGCAGAACGUUUUCUCAGACGGAUCAUAAAUACCACUUAAGCUUUUGAUUGCUGUUAAUCAAUCUAUUAUUGAAAAAUAUUAGC
rnacentral:sRNA from 1 species